GGCUGGUUAGCUUACUUGGGAGAGCGUGGUGCUGGUAACACCAAGGUCACGGGUUCGAAUCCCCGAACCGGCCA